UACGAAGGGGGCGAGCGUUGUUCGGAAUUACUGGGCGUAAAGGGCGCGUAGGCGGCGACCCAAGUCAGAUGUGAAAGUCCUGGGCUUAACCUGGGGACUGCAUUUGAUACUGGGUUGCUUGAAUUCGGGAGAGGAUAGCGGAGUUCCCAGUGUAGAGGUGAAAUUCGUAGAUAUUGGGAAGAACACCGGUGGCGAAGGCGGCUAUCUGGACCGACAUUGACGCUGAGGCGCGAAAGCGUGGGGAGACAAGCAGGU
rnacentral:rRNA from 1 species